UACGUAGGUGGCAAGCGUUGUCCGGAAUUAUUGGGCGUAAAGCGCGCGCAGGCGGUCCUUUAAGUCUGAUGUGAAAGCCCACGGCUCAACCGUGGAGGGUCAUUGGAAACUGGGGGACUUGAGUGCAGAAGAGGAAAGCGGAAUUCCACGUGUAGCGGUGAAAUGCGUAGAGAUGUGGAGGAACACUAGUGGCGAAGGCGGCUUUCUGGUCUGUAACUGACGCUGAGGCGCGAAAGCGUGGGGAGCAAACAGG
rnacentral:rRNA from 1 species